rnacentral:tRNA from 1 species
UUCAGGAUGACCGAGCGGUCCAAGGCGCUGCGUUCAGGACGCAGUCCGCUCUGUGGGUGUGGGUUUGAAUCCCACUCCUGACA